UACGUAGGGUGCGAGCGUUGUCCGGAUUUAUUGGGCGUAAAGGGCUCGUAGGCGGCUUGUCGCGUCGGGAGUGAAAGCCCGCUGCUUAACGGCGGGUUUGCUUUCGGUACGGGCAGGCUGGAGUACGGCAGAGGAGACUGGAAUUCCUGGUGUAGCGGUGGAAUGCGCAGAUAUCAGGAGGAACACCGGUGGCGAAGGCGGGUCUCUGGGCCGUUACUGACGCUGAGGAGCGAAAGCGUGGGGAGCGAACAGG
rnacentral:rRNA from 1 species